CCUACGGGUGGCAGCAGUCGGGAAUAUUGCGCAAUGGCGGAAACUCUGACGCAGCGACGCCGCGUGUAGGAAGAAGGUUUUCGGAUUGUAAACUCUUGUUGUUAGGGAAGAAAAUGACUGUAUCUCAGGAGGAAGCACCGGCUAACUCCGUGCCAGCAGCCGCGGUAAUACGGAGGGAGCAAGCGUUAUUCGGAAUCACUGGGCGUAAAGGGCGCGUAGGCGGGAAAGUAAGUUAGUUGUGAAAUCCUUUGGCUUAACUAUGGAACUGCAUUUGAAACUGUUAUUCUAGAGUACGGGAGAGGAAGGUGGAAUUCCUGGUGUAGGGGUGAAAUGCGUAGAGAUCAAGAGGAACACCAAUGGCGAAGGCGACCUGCUGGAAAGUAACUGACGCUGAGGCGCGAAAGCGUGGGGAGCAAACAGGAUUAGAUACCCCUGUAGUC
rnacentral:rRNA from 1 species